rnacentral:rRNA from 1 species
AAUUGAAGAGUUUGAUCAUGGCUCAGAUUGAACGCUGGCGGCAGGCCUAACACAUGCAAGUCGGGCGGUAACAGGAAAGCGCUUGCGCUUUUGCUGACGAGCGGCGGACGGGUGAGUAAUGUCUGGGGAUCUGCCCGAGGGCGGGGGAUAACCACUGGAAACGGUGGCUAAUACCGCAUAAUGUCGCAAGACCAAAGUGGGGGACCUGAAAGGGCCUCACGCCGUCGGAUGAACCCAGA